ensembl:lncRNA
UUUCUUUUCGGACUGCACGUCCAUCAUAGACUUCACACUCUGACAUGGUGUAACUUACAAGCACUCAGCACAGCUUAUUUUUAACUUUAGUAAUAUGAACUUCCUCUAUUUGCUUCUGCAUUGAGUAUCAGCCCACUGUUUAAAACUAAUGCUGUAAAAGGUUUUUUAAAGAGAACAACCACAGCAACUCUGCACACACUGAAGUUCAUAUUUACCAAAGAAGGUGUCAGGUCCGACGGUGCCCCGACCGGCGACCUGUGUGUAUGUGUGUGUUUGUUCUCUCGCUCUGUUUUUGUCUCCGGCUCCGCUGCAGUUGUUACGCGGUUGCGUAGCAACGGGAGAUCUCCGACCCGGAAGUGCUGCCACUCUGAGCUGUCCCACCUGCGACUGAUUCCUCGCCAGCUGCUGCCAAUCUUCCACCAUCGUUGGCAGAGCUAUUUAAUGGUGUGGCUGAGUGACAGACAGCGCUGGAGUAUUCCACCAAGCCUGGAAACGAGCGAGACGGAAAGACGAGAGGAGAGACGUCACUAUUCACGAGAGUUGUGUGGACACAUGAGGGGAGCACUGAAGGGACUUUGCACUGUGGAUAACUGUGGAUUGGCUUCACUGUAAAUAAAGACACUGUUCAACUUUAACGAGAGGUCCGCGUCUGGGUUCUCUUACUCACCACCCCGUAACAGAAGAUUUAAAUGUAAAUGUAAAGAUUUGCAUGAAUGAGCAGGAAGCCCUGCAGCAGACUCACAGACGGAUGCAGAGGGGAGGAGUGUGGAGGUGUGUGCUGUGUGUUUGGAGGAGGGACUCCUUCAGUUAGAGAAGUGAGGCGUCACAAGUUCCUGGUUUCCAGUGAAGAAGAAGAGAGGCAGCAGUAAACCAUCAGAGCCUCAUCAUGAAAGUCCAUCACACUCUGAUCUGCUUCUUCUUCCUUUCUCUGCAGGAUGGAAACGCUGAAGUCAUAUUCAACAACAACAUUUCCUUUGGAGUCGUUGGAGGAAAUCUAACAGCUGGAUUCUCCUUUCCUGCUGGAACAUGGAAAAUGUUGUGCAGAGGAGAAUGUAAAGGAGGAAACAUUCUUAUUAAUACAACAGAUGAGAAGCAUCAAAGUCACAGAUACAGCACUGAAUAUACAAUUGUACAAUAUGCUCCUACUUUGUCUGUGAGCAUCACACAGCUGAUCAUGUCUGAUGCUGGACAGUACAGCUGUGGUGUGGGUGAAUCUCCAUCAUCAGUUUCAUACAGACAGUUUGAAGUUGUUGUUGCUGAAGCACUGCUGGAUGGAAACGAUCCUGCUCAGCUGAAACACUUCAAUAAAGAAACUGGAAGCUCUCUCACAGUCGGAUGUUCCUUUAAUCCGUCUGGAGGACAAAAGUUCUUCUGCAGGGGAGAAUGUGGAGAGGACGAGGUUCUUCUUCAAACAGAUGAUGAAGAUGCUUCCAAAGACAGAUACAGAAUUGGAUUUAGAGGAACUUCAGAGGAGACAUAUGGAGGAGGAGGAAUUGUGUAUGUGACAAUCACACAGCUGACUGAGUCUGACUCAGGACAGUACAGAUGUUCUCUGAAUCCAUCUUCUGGUCAAGCUUCAUUCAGACUCUUUGAGAUCAACGUCACAGAUGCAGUCGUCCAAUCAGCCUUCUCACCUUCACUCACCUCGAGUGUAACCACGGAGCAGCCUGAGAAAACACCUGAAGGUGUUUCGCUGCCUGUGGGUCUGACUGUGGCUGUCAUCAUCAUCAUCAUCAUCAUCAUCGUCCUCUCAUCACUGGCUGUUCUAAUAAUCUGCAUUAAGAGGAAGAGCAACAGAGGUUUGAGGACCAGAGGAAACUCAGAGGGCACAAACAUGGAGGUGACUUUCUUUCUCUUUGUUUCCUCUCACUGCUGACAGACUGCUACCGUAACAAAGAAAUAAAGCAGUCACAGUGUGAUGGUUCAGUUUGUAGACUGUUCCAGAAAUUACAAUCCAAGAAGGUGAAUUCAAACAGGUAGGUGACAAAAAUGGCCGCCCAGACGGAGACUCCAACAACAAACAGAGACACUGUUGUCUGAGAGGUUCAACGAGGCAACAUGGAAAUAUUUACCAGCACAAAUGAUUUCACCAAGUCAGAGUCUGUUCUUGUUAUGUGAAGAAGACAGUGUGUCUCUGUUUUAGGACGUCCCACUACGAGAACUGUACUCCAGGUUCUACACGUGAAGACUCGACCUACCAGAGCCUCCAUCCAGCCGCCAGGGACCAGGACCAGACCUACUCCACACUCACACACCACACAUGAGACUCUCUGGAUUCACACCUGGGUUUAUUUCAGUCCCUCAGGUUUAAAAUUUGAACACAGACCCUGAAAACUGUAAAUAUUAACUCACAUUUGGAGUCAGCUUCAAGUGGCCGUUAGAGGAACUGCAGCUGUUGGAACGUCUGCAGGAGGAACCAGCCCCACCAGCCUCCAUCAUCCUACAUGAGUGGAGACUGUGAAGUCUUUCUGCUGCAGUGUGUCAUCCAUUUGGCUGAGAAGGAGACCGUCUGCAGUCUCCCUUCUCUCCAACACCUGGACACCUCCAGGACCCUGAGAGUGACCCCUCCCACCCUGGACAGACACUUUCUGAGUCGCUCUCCUCUGUAUCAUGAAACUGUCAAUAU